AUGCCCCAAGAGAAGCCAGCGGGAUGGCCAGGUCGAAGCCCCGGAAGGCGCUUACCUGUGCCGCGCCGCGAUCAGAGCCCGGGGCCAGGCCGGGACGCGCAGGUGCUUGGGGGCAUCCUGGCGACGGCCUGGGCGGGCCGGGCGUCCAUCGUGCCGGGCUGGCUGCGCUCUUCCCGCCGCUGGGGGCCGGGGAGGGGGCUCCCCUCGGCUCUGCGCCCGUCUCUUCUCCACCCGGCUGAGGACACAGCGGGUCCCGCGGCGGCGGCAGCAACAGGCACCGGCGGACUGUGGCGGCACCAGGAGCAGCAGCCGAAGAGGAGGAGGAGGAGGAGGAGGAGGAGGAAGAGGAGGAGGAGGUGUCUGCGCGCGGCUCUCGUUUCCUCCUCCCAGCCUGGGCGAGCGCGCGGGAGGCGAGGAGCGGACAGGAGCCGGGAUGUCCCUACUCGGUCCCCGGGGAGCUGCGAGGGGGACUCGGUGUCCUCCUCCUCCCCACUGCGCCGUGUGACUGUGCCCGGGCAGCACGGCCCGGACGGGCGAGUCACACGCGAGCAACAGCUGCUGCACUGCGGGUCCGCCGCGGCCUCCCUCCCCUCUUUGCCACCCCCCGCCCCCAAGCCCGCGGGCCAUCCUCAGCCAGUGUCUGUAGGGGAAAUGGGGGGAGGUACUUGGGCCGCCGCCCCAUCCAGGCCCCUGCGCAGGAUCUGGGCACAGCGUUUCCCUGGGGAGACGGGGGCGCGGGGCCCCGCGCGUGAUACAGGCCCUCGUGGCGGGAUGUGCAGUCGCACACCCUGUCCUUGGCGGCCUAUUUAUAGCAGGUGGCACUGCCCGCCGCUCGCUCGGCCUGAGUGGCUCUCAGCAGGUGGCACUGCCUGCCCGCUCUCCGCGCUCCUGAAGGAGCCUCGCUUCAUCUGCACCCUCCCCUUCUCCCUCCGAAACGGACGUGGUGGAAACUGCACACAACAUGGGAGGCGGAGGCCGGGGGACGACCAAGCCACCUGGUUCUCCCCCGCCUUACCCCUCACCCCUUCCUUGGAUGAUGGCAGGGGAUGA
rnacentral:lncRNA from 1 species